CUGUCAUCGAGAAAGGUGGAGGGACUGGCCCUGAGAAACCUUGGCAACCGUCAUUGCAAUAUGAUUGGUGCCAAUUCCAUCCCGGAUUACUGGCCGGGAGAGAUGAUGG
rnacentral:ncRNA from 22 species